ACUCUGGUAGUGUAGUCGGUUAGCACGUGGGAUUUUGAUUAUUCAAAACCUUCCCGAGUCCUCGGUUCGAAUCCGAGCCGGAGUG